CUAAUACUCCCUCCGUCCCAAAAUUCUUGUCUUAGAUUUGUCUAAAUAUGGAUGUAUCAAGUCACGUUUUAGUAUUAGAUACAUCCGUAUCUAGACAAAUCUAAGACAAGAAUUGUGGGACAAAGCAAGUAUUAC
rfam:Triticum aestivum genome assembly, contig: Triticum_aestivum_CS42_TGACv1_scaffold_392797_5AS